rnacentral:pre_miRNA from 1 species
AUAGUACUCCCUCCGUCCGAAAAUACUUGUCGCGGAAAUGGAUAUAAAUGGAUGCAUCUAAAACUAAAAUGCGUCUAGAUACAUCCAUUCCUCCGACAAGUAUUUCCGGACGGAGGGAGUACAUG